rnacentral:miRNA from 3 species
AAAGACAUAGUUGCAAGAUGGG